GGACGCAUAGCUCAGCUGGUUAGAGCGUUCGCCUCACACGCGAGAGGUCGUGGGUUCGAGUCCCUCUGCGUCCACCA
rnacentral:tRNA from 4 species